rnacentral:rRNA from 1 species
UGCGAUAACGCUGGCGGCAUGCUCACACAUUCAAGUUGAACGGGUUAAGUCCAUUAACCUUAACAAGUAGCGGACGGGUGAGUAACGCGUAAGAACCUACCUUUAGGUAAGGAAUAACUAUUGGAAACGAUAGAUAAUACCUUAUAAGCUUAUAGUAAAAGAUAAAAUCGCCUAAGGAUGGGCUUGCGUCUGAUUAGCUUGUUGGUGAUUUAAAAGAUUCACCAAGGCAACGAUCAGUAGUUGGUCUAAGAGGAUGAUCAACCACACUGGGACUGAGACACGGCCCAGACCUCUACGGAGGGCAGCAGUGAGGAAUUUUCCGAAAUGGGCGAAAGCCUGACGGAGCAAUGCCGCGUGGAGGAUGAAAGCUUGUGAGUCGUAAACUCCUUUACUUAGUGAAGAAAUAAGACGGUAUCUAAGGAAUAAGCAUCGGCUAACUCCGUGCCAGCAGACGCGGUAAUACGGAGGAUGCAAGCGUUAUUCGGAAUUAUUGGGCGUAAAGCGUCUGUAGGUGGUAAAACAAGUCUACUGUUAAAUAUUAAGGCUUAAACUUAAAAAAAGCGGUAUGAAACUACAAAAACUUGAAGUAAAGUAGAGGUAGAGGGACUCCCGGUGUAGAGGUGAAAUGCGUAGAGAUCGAGAAGAAAACGGUAGCGAAAGGCUCUAUGGGCUAAAAUGACAUGAAAGAGAAGAUGC